rnacentral:rRNA from 1 species
UACGAAGGGGGCUAGCGUUGCUCGGAAUCACUGGGCGUAAAGGGUGCGUAGGCGGGUCUUUAAGUCAGGGGUGAAAUCCUGGAGCUCAACUCCAGAACUGCCUUUGAUACUGAGAAGCUUGAGUCCGGGAGAGGUGAGUGGAACUGCGAGUGUAGAGGUGAAAUUCGUAGAUAUUCGCAAGAACACCAGUGGCGAAGGCGGCUCACUGGCCCGGUACUAACGCUGAGGUGCGAAAGCGUGGGGAGCAAACAGG